rnacentral:sRNA from 2 species
CGCUCUGUCUUUGGGGAGUAGCCCGCUUGGCGCGCAACGCGCCAGGGGCAUGUGUCAACAGACUUGGGGCCACUGGCUCCAUGGCACAUGCGGCAUGCAUGCUGGGCGAGACCAUUGGCUGCGCACCGAUCCUUUUGCGGCUGGAGUCGGGGCGUGGCCGAUGUGUGCGUGCC